AAUGUUUCGUCGAAUUCAUUUUGGCGCGAAACUCGUGCUGCGUAGUUUUUCAUCGAUUUCAAGUGAUUGAUACCAAAAAUAGUGCGUGAUUGAUACCAAAUUGAUAUUAUUGAGUCUAAUCAUACAAAAACUGUAAAAUAAUCACAAAUAUGUGAUACCUUCGAGUAUAAUUCGAGCAAUUUCCAACAGUGGCCGGUUACAAGGCAAAGAAGCCAACGCGAGAUAAAAUCCGAUCCGUACGAAGAGAUAAUCCUUCGAAGCGUAUGAUCGCGAUCGUACAUCCUGGACAGGCAGCAGGAAGGUCCUGCACAGCUACCGGAACAUGCAGAUUUAUGCUCCUUGGAACGUCACCGCUUCUUAGAUUAAUGGCCGUCCACGCUUUUUCCGCGUAGCCUUUCACCGUUGUCUGCUUCGCAAUGUAACAUCCUCUUUGCUAACGAAUCCUUCGAACAUCUAUUCGACUCUUUUCAUCUGCGCGUGAUUUCAGGUAAAGUAGUUCGGAGAAGCAGCAUCCAAAGUAGUAAUCCUUCAUCCUAAGUAUCAUGCUGAGUUUCUGAUCCUUGUCGACGAGCCCUCUGCAUGCAGCCCACAUGAGUGGUGACCAACAAGACCGAUCGCUUCUAUGUAAAAUAAUUUUCUCACGUAAGCCAGGUGGUCGAAGAGGAAGCGAGAAGAAAAAGAAGAAGAAAAAUACAUAGUAGCAACGACUUGGUCAUUCGAAUACCUGUGCUGGCACGUCAACUGCGCAACUUCCGUGCACCGCGUGUUAAAGCGCAACAACGAAGAAUGAAAAAGAACAGCUGGAACAGCUCGUGUCAAGCAAUUAGAAUACCCCUCCACGGACACUCGAUAUAUUCGAGAGAGAAUGCACGCGUGAACCAAUCGUGACACGCGUGCACAAUUUUUCUAACCACGUUCCGCAAAAGUCCAAAUCCUUUUCUCAACCGAGGCGCAAUAUUGGAUUCUGUUUUUCCGUUGUCUCGCGUGGACGAGCAAACGGUGCGCGAGGCUACUUGGGAUGCCGAGUCACGACUCGAAAUACGAGAUGUCGUGUAGGUAUGCGGCGAAAUGUGGUGGUCGGUUUUUAUUUCGCUGGCACGAUAACGUGAUCCCAACCUAUGAAAUCGAAAGAUGAGCAUCGAUGGAUAACGGGACACCGAGAAUGCUUGCACACUUUCGAUCAGGGCGAAUUCAAAAUUCUAGACGGGGUUCAGAGCUUUCGCGGAAUUGUCUAUUGUUUGACCACCCGCCAUUGUUUUCUUGGAAACUCUUCUCGUAUAAUUAUUUGGAUAUUUGUAGAAAAUGAAAUUAUUGGAAUGUUAUAAUUGUAAUUAAAAUAUUAGGAAAAUAUAUAAUAUAUUUUAUGUUCUUUUGGAACAUGUAUAUAUUUGUUAUUGAUAAUUAUAAAAUCAAUUUGUAUUUGAUCAAUUUUUGUAAUGUUAUUGUGAAAAUUCCUGUAUUCAAAAUGCCAAAGAAGUAUCGUCUAAAGAUUACAUUACAUUAACUAUAUAAAGUAUGCAUAUAACGAAAAUGAAAGUAAGAAAUUCAGAUAAUAAUCAGAUUAAUGAUCGGUAAAAUCUUUCAUAUAAAUAUAAUAUAAAUCGGUGUGAAUGUGUGUGCUAUGAAUGAUCACGUUCUGUCGAUAUAUAAUCCCUCGAAUACGUGUUAACACCCUGUAUAUUCUGCAUUCGAAUAAUUGUCGUAUACUAAGCAACGAGCAACGUUUUAUUGUAAUCUUAUAUGUAUCAAAUAAUUACAACGUAAUUACACCGUGUCUCUGUUCAAGAUCUAGAUUCAGAGAUCAGACUUUUCGCUAAACCACGCCCGCAAUCUCGUCGUCAAAACGAAAAAGAUCCAAGAAUCCGAAUACCACCGCGCCCAUUGCGGAUCCAAAUAAACGCGAGAGAACAGAGGCGAGGAAAACCGUUGGCCACGACUGUCCGCCGAUUUUACGAGACUCGAAGUAUCUCCAGUAUCUGCGGAAAGAACGCAGCGCCCGAAUGCGUAUAAACUGCGUCCAGAUAACUGUAUAAGUUGGCUCGAAUAUAGGCCAGUCGUUUCGUGUCGACGAACGCGAUUCCGCGGCACGAUUUCCGCGUUUUCCGCUUUCUGUUUGCUCGUAUUCAGCAUUCGAAUCCUCCCACGUAUCUCACUUUUAUCACCGAAACUGCUCAGAAGACGAUAAAACCGCGUACAGACUGGAAUGAUACGUAUGCGAGCAAUUUAUAUCAACAUAGAGAGUAGGUUGAACUGUAUUUCAACGAUUUAAUGACGGAACACCGAUAUAAGAUCCUAGAUAAAUAUUGGAUGCUGAAAGAAGACUGUGAAUUUGUAUUGGAUUUGUGUAUAAGAAAAAAAUUACGUUUUUUUUCGAAAUAUCAUAAAUUAUAUAGAAUUCUAUCCUAUUUUAUUUUUUAACCUCUUAAGAAACAAAAUAUUUUAUUUUAUUAAUAAUGUUAGUAAUAAAUAACUGUUUGGUUUUAUUAUUUUAAAUUGAAGAAUCGAUGAGUUAAUGAAUCUAUUUUACAUAUUUUUUCGUUUUAAAAUGAUUUAUUAUGUAAAAAAUUGUGUAUUUUCAAUAAUUUUUAAGCAAUUUUUUGCAUAUGAUUUUAUGUAAUAUAAAUUUAUAGUAAAUUCAUUUGAAGAAAUUUUCUCAAAAUGAAGUCGAAGCUCAAGCUGUUUCGAAAUUGCAACAAGUGCAUUUUGAAAUUGAAAGUGAUAUUGAAAAUUCAAGAGAAGAUGUUUCACAAAGUGCUGAAAUUGCAACAGGUGCAUGAUAAGAUUGGAUUGCUCUCAAACAAUUAAAACGUAAUAAGAAUUGUACAAAUUUUUAACAAUUAAAAAAUUAACUUUUAAUAAUUUAGUUUUAUCUCAAAAGGGAAUCUAAUAAUUCUCUUAAUGAUUAAUAAAAUUAUAAUAAAUUUUAUUUAUUAUAAUACAAUACAAUAAUUUAAUUAUAUUUAUAACUUACGGUAUAUUUUUCAUAAUUUUCUAGCAAUCGUUUCAAUCUGUACACGGAUUAAGGAAAUAACUUGCAUGAGAAUACCUGAAUCGGUAUUGUGGAUCGUUAAGAUUAUAGAACAAUUGAAACAGGAAUUUCACGUGAUUCGCCAUGAUUAGCUGCAACGCCCUCUUCAUUAUAAUGUAUAUUUAUCGCCGCCAUAUUUUUAGAUGGUACGCUCGAACAGACAUUUUUAUCGAAACAAUCACUAUUACGACCGAUUUGAUCUUUAUGGAUCGAAGAUGUUUCGUUCGCGGUUAUUGGAAUAUCGUGCUAUCCGAUUGAAUCGAUCGUUUCGGUUUAUAAACCUUGCGCGAAUUCGUAAAACUCGAACAACUUUGAAAUAACAGGUUAACCAUACCGAGAACUGUGUUAUUUCUGUGUAUACAAUGACGAGAAAUCAAGGCGAUGACAAUCGUCGAAUUGGAUUUUGAAAUUUGUUACAAGCUUUAUAAAUUUAUUUUCAUCGUUCCAACAUCGUGAUUUGCUAAGUGAUGAUCGAGAGUGAAAUAACACUUUCGACAAAUAAUAACGAACAAACGAAACUUCGUGUUCACGAUUCGACUUUAAGUGUAAGUGUUAAUUGGAAGAGUAAUAUUUCCUAAUUUCUCUGGGUUUAUCGACUAGAUAGUUGAAUAUCCGAAUAUCACGAAUCAAAAGAAGAUUUAGUAUCGAUGAUUAAAACUCGUCGAACGGAUGUAAUAUCAUUAAAAAUAAAACUGAUCUUGUUAAUCGAGGAUUGCUAUUACACGUUCUAUAAAAUCUAUUACUAUGUUGGUUUCUAUGUAAGAUCUUUCAAAUAAAUUUCACAGUCAAGUA